rnacentral:lncRNA from 1 species
GUUUUCUUAUAUUUAGCUUUUACAGUUUUAAAGACUAUUAACUAAAUAAGAUAUCUAAUCAAAAUAUUCUACUCAUUAAGGCAAUAUUUUAUAAUUAAGAGAGUUCUAAAACUUUUAAAAAAUAAUUAAACUUCUAACAAGAAGGCCACUUGGUAAAACUCUAUGACUUAUUAGUUACUCUAGUGGGGUUUCUUUGCAGCCAAUCAGCUUGUGAUUUUUUGCCACAUGGGUUUUCACAUAAACCAAGUGGCACAUAAUAUGCAAUUGAUUAAACCUUGGAUAAUUUGAAUUAGUUCCAAAAGGUCUUAAAAUCGGGACAUUAACACCACCCCCUCCCAAAGGUAAUUUCAUUGAUUCUUCAACCUUGUUAAUUCAUCACAUCGUUGUUAAAGAAGAAAAAUCAUUCUAGAAAACAAGUUUGUGAGAUAUUAUCAAAGAGGCUUCCUAUAAGAAGUGAGAACCAAAAUUAUCAACACAAAUUGAGCAUUAAUAGUUACAACCAUCACUAAUUUUUAGUUGUAAUAUUAAAAUAAAUGUGCAUUGAAUAAAAAAAUACCAUAAUUCAAAUGCCAUCAUGCUUGAGGGCAUUAAACCCAUAACAAUAAUAAUAGAUAAUGAAGAAACAGGAGCAGCUCAAAAUCAUAAUGAUGGGAUAUGGAUAUGCUUUUGAAGAAUUGUAAUAUGCAUAGGUAAAUUUUUCUCCCCAAUGGGACUUGAACCUGAAACCUUCUACAAACCCAAUGGGAUAGAAGGUUUAAACAGAUCACAAAAAUGCAUUUUAAACAACCUCUGGAAUGCAAAAAGUGAUAUUCAAAAGUUGGAAGCUUUAAAUGCUUUGUCUUUUCAUUUUAAACAGUUAAAUGAUAAUUUAGACAGUUUUCCUAACCCUUCAAGUUCCGAUAGGCAUUACAUCCCAAUGGAUACAGAUCUUGAAAGUUUCAAUUGCAGGAAAAGUGCAGAAGAAUCUAAAGCUACAUUUUCAAAAUGAAUUUCCAACACUUUCUAAAGAAAGCCUAGAAUUUCAAAAAUCAAGAUUUUCUUUUUUCAAGCAAAAGAAUUUGAAUCUUCCUCAAGAUGUUAAAUAGAUAAUAAGUCAACAGGCUCAAGCUACAAGGGAAGCUAAGUAAGAACAUAUAAUGCAAUUUCUUGCCGACUGUAACACUUUUGGAGUUACUAUUCAAGGGAUCAGUUUCACUUAGAUUACUCAUUAUGACAACACCAAUUAUGAUUGUCCAAAGCUUAAUCCCUUGUAUAGGGGAAUUCCACUAGAAAGGCAUGACUGUAAGUGUACUCUUACAGUAUUUGUAAAGCCAACAUUGACUUAGACAGAUACAAACCAGUAAUCAUUAAGUUUAACAAUGAGUCAAUAGAGCUAACUCCUACUCUCCUCAUGGAUUAUGGAUUGCUUUAUCAACUAAUUUUCUUCCAUCCUGAUCAAAUUGAUGGAUUUGGAAGAAAAUUAGCAGUUUGUGUUUUAAAUAUCUUCAUCAGAGAUUUCAAAUGAAUUGAACUCAUUAUCGAAAGCAAGCCUCCUGAAUGGUCAAAUGAUGGAGGAGUUCAUCCUACUCAACAUCUCAUCCUUCUCAAAGUCAAUUAUAGAAAAUAUCAAUUGUUUGGUACAGAGAUCCCUUGGCCCUAUACUAUAGUCAGCCUCAAAAAACAAAUCAGACAUUGGAGGUCAAGAAUGAUUGCAAGAAAUCUUGAUUCUGAGAUUUAUAAUUCUUCUAACUAUAAUCUCAUUACCGAAGACAAUAUUCAAAAGAUCAUCUUUGCAAAUGAUUUUUUAGAAGUCCUUCUUCUGUUCCAAACUCAAUUUUCUUAUCUUGUUGAUAAGUACAAAAAUGAUUACGUCAUUGAAAAGGAAAUUCAACAAGUUUUUUAAAAAUAUCUCUUAGAAAUGCUCAAUUAAGAAAUACCAAGAAUCUUUUGUACAUCUGUAUCUUUGUACAUUUGUUCUCUUGUAUUUAUCCAGUAAAAUUGUGGAAAAAAUGUAUAGAAGAAUGCAUAUAAAACGCAAAAUAUAUAUAUGUAAAGAAGAAAUUGUGAAGAAUGCGUAUAAAACGCAAGAUAAAUAAAAAAUAAAAAAAAACACAAUUCAAAUAAUAAUGAAUAGUGUCAAAUAGUGUUUUUUGUCUACCAAUAUAGAAGUGAUCUUUAUCACCAGGCAGAGUUGGAAAUCUUGAGAGCUCAAGAGUGCAAGCAUGGAGUAUUCUAAAAUUCUCUCUCUUGCUUUUAUUGUUAGGAUUAUAUUGUAACAAUAAUGUUUCAUCUUUGACAGAUUGACACCCAGCUCUAGGAUUUAAUUGAGUUGUCAUGACCAGGGAUUGAAAAAUCGGAAAAUGUCGCCGAUAUUUAGAAGAAAUAUCGGAUAUCGGACGGCGCCGAAACGAUAAUCGUCACCGAUUAUCGAUCGACGGAAAAAUCGGCAAAAUCGCCGAUAUAUCGGCGAAAUAUCGGCGAAAUAUCGGCGAAAUACCGAUUUAUCGGAAAAUUUCCCGAUAUUUUCCUACCAGUCCAGCCCGCGCACAGGAUACAAAAUCUGGCUCAAAAAUCGUGGAUUUAGGGUUCGUGAAAUUUAAAUCCAAUGGCACAACAACAAAGAGACCCUUAAAACAGAUCCAGAAAACACAGGGAGCAAAAGAAAAGCAAAUUUUUUGGUUUUCUUUGGGGGUUUUGAAUGGAUUUUCUCGGAAAUCAAACGAGAAUGAAUUUUCCCGGAAAUCAAAUGGGGGAUGGAUUUUCUUGGGAAUCAAACGGGGGUUGCAAAAAAAAUAGUACCUGCGAGGAUUGAGAGUGGCAGAGGAAGAUAGGUCUUUUUAGGAAGAAGAACUCUCUUGGCUGGAGGGCAGCUUCAGCGGCUGGAGGGCAGCUUCAGAAAAGGGGAAAGGGGAAUUCUCUCGGCUGGAGGGCAACUUCAGAAGUGGGUGGCCCUUUAAAUUUUUAGAUUUAGUAGAGGUAAAAAAAAAAAAAACCAAUCAUGAGAGCAAUUUUCCUCUACCCAUAUAAAUAAUUAUAAAUUAUUGAAUUUUAUUUUGAUUAUUAAAUAAAUUAAUAUUAAUAAAAAAAGUUGUUACUAUAUGUUUUUAAUAAAAUUUUAAAAAUUAAAUCUCAAAUAAAAUAUUUAUAUAAAUUAAUUUAAUUUUCAUUUAAAAUAUAAUAAAACAUGUUUUAAUAAAAAUAUUUUAAAUAAAUAUUAUCUUCAGUAAAUUGGGUCAUCUUCAUCUAACAAUAUAAUGAAAUCACAUCGAUCUCUUCCUUAGUAUAAGGACUAUUGUAAUAUCAUAUGUAUUAUAUUUAUGUAUAAAUUAUUUUUAUUCAAUAAAAUCAAAUAUUUUUUUAAUUCAAUUCUAACUCUAUAUACUUUUAAAAUUCAUAUAUAUUAUUUUUAAAAUUCAAAUAUCAAAUCUACCAAUAUAUCUUUGUUUAAAAUAUCUUCUUAAUUAUAUAUAUGUCAAUUACACUUACAAGAUAACUUUAAAAUGUGUAUUUUUACUUAUUUUAUCAUUUUUUAAAGUUUUUUCAAGUAUUUCUAUUAAUUUUAAAUAAUUUUCACUUUAUCGAUAUUUGUGAAAAAAUAUCCACCGAUAUAUCUCCGAUAUAUCCAUAAAAACCGAUAUUUCAAUCCUUGGUCAUGACUUUAUUAAUAUUGUUAACACUAUUUGACACAUCAUUGGAUUGACACACUUCUAUAUUGGUAGACAAAAAACACUAUUUGUCACUAUUUAUUA